AGUGAACGCUGGCGGUAGGCCUAACACAUGCAAGUCGAACGGCAGCACAGUAAGAGCUUGCUCUUACGGGUAGCGAGUGGCGGACGGGUGAGGAAUACAUCGGAAUCUACUUUUUCGUGGGGGAUAACGUAGGGAAACUUACGCUAAUACCGCAUACGACCUACGGGUGAAAGCAGGGGAUCUUCGGACCUUGCGCGAUUGAAUGAGCCGAUGUCGGAUUAGCUAGUUGGCGGGGUAAAGGCCCACCAAGGCGACGAUCCGUAGCUGGUCUGAGAGGAUGAUCAGCCACACUGGAACUGAGACACGGUCCAGACUCCUACGGGAGGCAGCAGUGGGGAAUAUUGGACAAUGGGCGCAAGCCUGAUCCAGCCAUACCGCGUGGGUGAAGAAGGCCUUCGGGUUGUAAAGCCCUUUUGUUGGGAAAGAAAAGCGGCAGGUUAAUACCCCGCUGUUCUGACGGUACCCAAAGAAUAAGCACCGGCUAACUUCGUG
rnacentral:rRNA from 1 species